rnacentral:rRNA from 1 species
UACAGAGGGUGCAAGCGUUGUUCGGAAUUAUUGGGCGUAAAGCGCGUGUAGGCGGCUUGGCAAGUCGGGUGUGAAAUCCCUCAGCUUAACUGAGGAAGUGCGCCCGAAACUGCUGAGCUUGAAUACCGGAGAGGAUGGCGGAAUUCCCCAAGUAGAGGUGAAAUUCGUAGAUAUGGGGAGGAACACCGGUGGCGAAGGCGGCCAUCUGGACGGCUAUUGACGCUGAGACGCGAAAGCAUGGGGAGCGAACGGG